GGGAGGGUCCAUCUCUCCCGGGUCUGCUUGGUAUUUUCCAGUGUAUUCGCAGAUUCUUAGCAUGACACUUCCACUCGGCGGAAAGGACAGGGAGAGAAGGCUGUGCUUUAGGGCAACGGCAGCAGGGCCAGCUGGGAGGGGUGGAACAAGGACCAACAUGCAGGGCAAGAUGAGGCCUGAGGGUGGAGGGGACAGAAGAGCCCUGCCGGGACAAGGGACAGAGGAACAUCGGUUAGGUUUGGACCCAUGCACAAGGGCUCAGCCACGCUGCCAGUGCCAGACUGGCCCCCCUUCCUGGGGCGUGGCAGCACAUUCAGUCAUGGGCACAGGCAACGGCAGGGGCCAGGGCUGCCUCGAGCAGGGGAGGCUGGGCACCCAGCUGUCCUGUGAGGACACACCAUCCCACCCUCAGACCGUGCCACUG
rnacentral:lncRNA from 1 species